rnacentral:rRNA from 1 species
GACGGACGCUGGCGGCGUGCUUAACACAUGCAAGUCGAACGAUGAAGAAGAGAAACGCGAACUUCGGUUCAAAUUUCACUUCGGAUUAGUGGCAGACGGGUGAGUAACGCGUGAGCAACCUACCUCUUACAAAGGGAUAGCCUCGGGAAACCGUGAUUAAUACCAUAUGACACAUUCAUAAGGCAUCUUAAGAAUGUUAAAGCUACGGCGGUAAGAGAUGGGCUCGCGUCCCAUUAGCUAGUUGGUGAGGUAACGGCCCACCAAGGCGACGAUGGGUAACCGGCCUGAGAGGGUGAACGGUCACAUUGGAACUGAGACACGGUCCAAACUCCUACGGGAGGCAGCAGUGGGGAAUAUUGCACAAUGGAGGGAACCCUGAUGCAGCGACGCCGCGUGAGCGAUGAAGGAAUUCGUUUCGUAAAGCUCUGUUCUAUGGGAAGAAAAGGACUGUACCAUAGGAGAAAGCCCCGGCUAAAUACGUG